rnacentral:rRNA from 1 species
ACGAAGGGAGCUAGCGUUGUUCGGAGUUACUGGGCGUAAAGGGCGCGUAGGCGGUUUGAUAAGUCAGAUGUGAAAGCCCUGGGCUUAACCCAGGAAUUGCGUUUGAGACUGUCAGGCUUGAAUUCGGGAGAGGUGAGUGGAAUUCCCAGUGUAGAGGUGAAAUUCGUAGAGAUUGGGAAGAACACCCGUGGCGAAGGCGGCUCACUGGACCGACAUUGACGCUGAGGCGCGAAAGCGUGGGGAGCAAACAG